CCAUGCAUGCUUCGGGGAUUGGGACCGAGUGGUGCAGGACUUGGCUGCCCGUACACGGCGCCUAGAGCAGCGGGCGCAGGAGUUGCAACAGACGGGUGUGCUGGGUGCCUUUGAGAGCAGCUUCUGGCAUAUGCAGGAGAAGCUGGGCAUUGUGCAGGGCAUCGUAGGUGCCCGCAACACCUCAGCCGCCUCCACUGCACAGCUUGUGGAGGCCACAGAGGAGCUGCGGCGUGAAAUUGAGGAGGCCACUGAGCACCUGACUCAGCUCGAGGCAGAGCUGACAGAUGUGCAAGAUGAGAACUUCAAUGCCAACCAUGCACUAAGUGGUCUGGAGCGAGAUACGCUUGCACUUAAUCUCACACUGCGGCAGCUCGACCAGCAUCUUGACUUGCUCAAACAUUCAAACUUCCUGGGUGAGUUGUUAGCCAACUAGGCAGGUGGACCAGGGUCAGUCUUCAGCUGACUGUCUGCCUCUGCCCAAUUUAGGUGCCUAUGACAGCAUCCGGCAUGCCCAUAGCCAGUCUGCAGAGGCAGA
rnacentral:sRNA from 1 species